rnacentral:rRNA from 1 species
GGCGUCGACGGGUAGCCGGCCUGAGAGGGUGACCGGCCACACUGGGACUGAGACACGGCCCAGACUCCUACGGGAGGCAGCAGUGGGGAAUAUUGCACAAUGGGCGGAAGCCUGAUGCAGCAACGCCGCGUGAGGGAUGACGGCCUUCGGGUUGUAAACCUCUUUUAGCAGGGAAGAAGCGUGAGUGACGGUUCCUGCAGAAAAAGCACCGGCUAACUACGUGCCAGCAGCCGCGGUAAUACGUAGGGUGCAAGCGUUAUCCGGAAUUAUUGGGCGUAAAGAGCUCGUAGGCGGUUUGUCGCGUCUGCUGUGAAAUCCCGAGGCUCAACCUCGGGCCUGCGGUGGGUACGGGCAGACUAGAGUGCGGUAGGGGAUAUUGGAAUUCCUGGUGUAGCGGUGGAAUGCGCAGAUAUGAGGAGGAACACCGAUGGCGAAGGCUGAUCUCUGGGCCGUAACUGACGCUGAGGAGCGAAAGGGUGGGGAGCAAACAGGCUUAGAUACGCUGGUAGUCCACCCCGUACACGUUGGGAACUAGUUGUGGGGUCCUUUCCACGGAUUCCGUGACGCAUCUGACGCAUUAUGUUCCCCGCCUGGGGAGUACGGCCGCGCUGCUAAUACUCAGAGGAGUUGACGGGGACCCGCACAAGCGGCGGACCAUGCUGAUUACUUCGAUGCACCGCG